AAAUUAUUUUCUCUUACAGAAUUUUUAUCCUGAAUCACCCAAAACUGUGAAAGGGUAAUUUCGGUAUUUCAAAUGAUAAAGUUGCAAGAAGAAAAAUGUAGGAGUGCAAGAAGAAACUCAUACUUUAUUACUUGUGUUAAUGGGUUGGGCUAGAUGACACUGGGUUGCCAAUUUAGAAAGGUCAUUUUCUUUCUCCACCUACCUAUACCUUCAUGCCUACUUUAUG
rnacentral:lncRNA from 1 species